UACGGGGGGAGCAAGCGUUGUUCGGAUUUACUGGGCGUAAAGGGCGCGUAGGCGGCCACCGCAAGUCGACUGUGAAAUCUCCGGGCUUAACUCGGAAAGGUCAGCCGAUACUGCGGGGCUAGAGUGCAGAAGGGGCAACUGGAAUUCUCGGUGUAGCGGUGAAAUGCGUAGAUAUCGAGAGGAACACCUGCGGCGAAGGCGGGUUGCUGGGCUGACACUGACGCUGAUUGUGCGAAAGCUAGAGGAGCGAACGGG
rnacentral:rRNA from 1 species